rnacentral:rRNA from 1 species
GCCCUUGUGCCAAGCAGCCGCGGUAAUUCCAGCUCCAAUAGCGUAUAUUAAAGUUGUUGCGGUUAAAAAGCUCGUAGUUGGAUUUCUGUCAACGAGUGGCGCUCCGCCCCUUGUGGUGAGUAGUCGUCAUGCCGUUGGCAUCUUUCUGGGGAGUGUAUCUGCACUUCAUUGUGUGGUGCAUAAGCCAGGACAUUUACUUUGAGGAAAUGAGAGUGUUUCAAGCAGGCGCACGCCGUGAAUACGUUAGCAUGGAAUAAUAGCAUCGGAUCUCGCUCCAAAGCUGUUGGUUUCUUGGGUCGAGAUAAAGGUGAAUAGGGAUUGUUGGGGGCAUUCGUAUUUAACUGUCAGAGGUGAAAUUCUUGGAUUUGUUGAAGACGGACUACUGCGAAAGCAUCUGCCAAAGAUGUUCUCAUUGAUCAAGAACGAAAGUUAGGUGAUCGAAGACGAUCAGAUACCGUCCUAGUCUUAACCAUAAACUAUGCCGACUGGAGAUAGGGGGUCGUUAAAUUGGUGACGCCUUCUGCAUCUUGAGAGAAAUCAAAGUCUUUGGGUUCCGGGGGGAGUAUGGUCGCAAGGCUGAAACUUAAAGGAAUCGACGGAAGGGCACCACCAGGAGUGGAGCCUGCGGCUUAAUUUGACUCAACACGGGGAAACUUACCAGGUCCAGACAUAGUGAGGAUUGACAGACUGAUAGCUCUUUCGAGAUUCUAUGGGUGGUGGUGCAUGGGCCGUUCUUAGUUGGUGGAGUGAUUUGUCUGGUUAAUUCCGUUAACGAACGAGACCUUAACCUGCUAAAUGGGCUCCAGAAUCUUCGGUUCCAGGAGGCCUUCUUAGAGGGACGUCGCGUGUCUAACGCUAGGAAGUGUGAGGCAAUAACAGGUCUGUGAUGC